rnacentral:rRNA from 1 species
AGUGAACGUUGGCGGCGUGGAUUAGGCAUGCAAGUCGAGCGAGAACCGUAGCAAUACGGGGACAGCGGCGAAAGGGACAGUAAUGCGUAGGUACCUACCUCCGGGUUCGGGAUAGCUGCGGGAAACUGCAGGUAAUACCGAAUAACGCCUCCGGACCAAAGGUGUGAUUCCACCUGGAGAGGGGCCUGCGUCCUAUUAGCUUGUUGGCGGGGUAACGGCCCACCAAGGCGACGAUGGGUAGCGGGUGUGAGAGCACGACCCGCGUCAUUGGGACUGAGACACUGCCCAGACACCUACGGGUGGCUGCAGUCGUGAAUCUUCGGCAAUGGGCGCAAGCCUGACCGAGCGACGCCGCGUGCGGGAUGAAGGCCUUCGGGUUGUAAACCGCUGUCGUAGAGGAGGAAAUGCAGGGGGGUUCUCCCCUCUGUUUGACCUAUUCUAGGAGGAAGUACGGGCUAAGUUCGUGCCAGCAGCCGCGGUAA